rnacentral:rRNA from 1 species
CCAGGCGUCGAGCGGCGGACGGGUGAGUAACGCGUGAGAAUCUGCCCAUUUGUGGGGGAUAACUCGGGGAAACUCGAGCUAAUACCGCAUAAUCCCUACGGGGGAAAGCAGGGGACCUUCGGGCCUUGUGCAGAUGGAUGAGCUCGCGUCGGAUUAGCUUGUUGGUGAGGUAAAGGCUCACCAAGGCGACGAUCCGUAGCUGGUCUGAGAGGAUGAUCAGCCACACCGGGACUGAGACACGGCCCGGACUCCUACGGGAGGCAGCAGUGGGGAAUCUUGGACAAUGGGGGCAACCCUGAUCCAGCCAUGCCGCGUGUGUGAAGAAGGCCUUCGGGUUGUAAAGCACUUUCAGUAGGGAGGAAGGCUUACCGCUAAUAACGGUGAGUACUUGACGUUACCUACAGAAGAAGCACCGGCUAAUUUCGUGCCAGCAGCCGCGGUAAUACGAAAGGUGCGAGCGUUAAUCGGAAUUACUGGGCGUAAAGCGCGCGUAGGCGGUUUGUUAAGUCAGAUGUGAAAGCCCCGGGCUCAACCUGGGAAUUGCAUUUGAAACUGGCAGGCUAGAGUGCAGUAGAGGGAGGUGGAAUUUCCGGUGUAGC